GACGAACGCUGGCGGCGUGCUUAACACAUGCAAGUCGAACGGACAGGUCCUGCUCUUGUUCGUUUCUCGUUUGGCGAACGCGUGUGUAUCACGUGUGUAUCCUGCCCUUGUCUUUGUGAUAACUUCACGAAACUGGGGCUCAUACCCGAUAUGAGCUCCUGCUCCAUGGUGUUGUUUGGUAAGUUUCGGCGGUUCUGGCUGGUCUCGCGGCUUAUCAGCUUGAUUGUGUGGUAGUGGCUUACCCAGGCUUAGACGGAUACCCGGCCUGAGAGGCUGGCCGGGCACAUGGGGACUGAGAUACGGCGCAGACGCGUACGGGAGGCAGCAGUGGGGAAUAUGGCAGAAUGGGGGGAAGCCUGAGGCAGCAACGCCGCGUGCGGGAUGACGGGCUUCGAGGGGUAAACCGCUUUCGAAUGUGACGAAGCGGGAGUGACGGUAAUGGGUAAAGAAGCAACGGCUAACUACGUG
rnacentral:rRNA from 1 species